rnacentral:ncRNA from 1 species
CCUUGGGGCGGGGCGAGAUUCCCCACCGGCGGUAACAGCCCGCUUGCCUGUAUAUACAGGCCGAUCCGGUGAAACUCCGGAGCCGACGGUACAGUCCGGAUGAAAAAGG